UCCACCCUACGGGGCGCAGCAGUGGGGAAUAUUGCACAAUGGGGGAAACCCUGAUGCAGCAACGCCGCGUGAAGGAAGACGGUUUUCGGAUUGUAAACUUCUGUUCUUAGUGAAGAAGAAUGACGGUAGCUAAGGAGCAAGCCACGGCUAACUACGUGCCAGCAGCCGCGGUAAUACGUAGGCGGCAAGCGUUGUCCGGAAUUACUGGGUGUAAAGGGAGCGCAGGCGGGAAGCCAAGUCGGCUGUGAAAACUACGGGCUUAAAUUGUAGACUGCAGUUGAAACUGGUUUUCUUGAGUGGAGUAG
rnacentral:rRNA from 1 species